CAAAAAUUAUGUUUCUCAGAGAGAGGAAACUAAAUUGUCUUUGUAUUUGCAUUUCUUUAGAGCUCAGUCACAGUGAUUUAUUGAUGGAAAAUGAGAAGGAGACAGUCUUCAAAAUGGCCAGUCAACCAAAGAAGCCAGUCUGGGAACAUCUGUGUCUUGCCAUUUGAAAACCUCACCUGUUGCUUGCUCCUACAGAGUACCUGGAAACACUGCUGCAGAAGAGGAUUUCCUGACCAUGAGGAACAGGACAGUUAAGAGACACAGCCUAGCAUUGUGGCCAAACACCGCGACCCGUCUUCUGAGAAAGAGACCCAUCUUCUGAGAAGAAAAGAGGAGGACUUCUCAGUGGGGAACUUUGCAAGGCCCAUGCUCCAUAAAGGGCUUCUGAGAGCAGUGUGCAAGCCAGGCAGUGGGCCGGGAGCCAGAGCAGCAGAAGCCAUGGGGCAUGGCCCAAACUUGCAUGAUCCAUGGUGACAAAACAUGUGGAGCUCCUCUUUUGGGAAUGAGAUCCCUAAGGGCCUGGCUGUGCCCCUGCCUGCCCUGUGUGUGUGGAAGGAGGAGUGUAUGAACUCUCCUGGGCUAAGGUACAGCGGAGUUUGGCUGGAGGAUUGCUAGUGCCUCUACACCUGCCCUAGCUCUGCUCCUGCCCUUUUUUUGCAGAGUAACUCUGCAAAACCCUCACUGAUUUGAACAAUUGUUGCCUAAGCCCCUCUGUCCAUGUGUCUGUGCUUCUUUACCAUGUCUAUCAAUUAAGCAAAAGCCCCAGACAUCCUUUUGCUCAUACAAUGCUUUAAUUAUAAAGUAGUUUGCUUCUGAUUGGCAAUUACUGUGCCUGGGAAUGGGCCUCACAAGUGGGUGGGCUUUUGAGACCUGGCUGUCACUCAUCUGCCUUGUCCCCUUCUC
rnacentral:lncRNA from 1 species